rnacentral:rRNA from 1 species
GAUACGACCGUACCGCAAACCGACACUGGUGCGCGAGAUGAGUAUUCUAAGGCGCUUGAGAGAACUCAGGAGAAGGAACUCGGCAAAUUGACACCGUAACUUCGGAAGAAGGUGUGCCCUAUUAGUGUGUAGUGAACAACGAAGCAUGAAUGGGUUGCAAAAAAUCGGUGGCUGCGACUGUUUAUUAAAAACACAGCACUCUGCAAACACGAAAGUGGACGUAUAGGGUGUGACGCCUGCCCGGUGCUGGAAGAUUAAAUGAUGGGGUGCAAGCUCUUGAUUGAAGUCCCAGUAAACGGCGGCCGUAACUAUAACGGUCCUAAGGUAGCGAAAUUCCUUGUCGGGUAAGUUCCGACCUGCACGAAUGGCGUAACGAUGGCCACACUGUCUCCUCCUGAGACUCAGCGAAGUUGAAAUGUUUGUGAUGAUGCAAUCUCCCCGCGGAAAGACGGAAAGACCCCAUGAACCUUUACUGUAGCUUUGUAUUGGACUUUGAACAGAUCUGUGUAGGAUAGGUGGGAGGCUUUGAAGCAGGGUCGCUAGAUCUUGUGGAGCCAACGUUGAAAUACCACCCUGGUGUGUUUGAGGUUCUAACCUAGGUCCAUUAUCUGGAUCGGGGACAGUGCAUGGUAGGCAGUUUGACUGGGGCGGUCUCCUCCCAAAGCGUAACGGAGGAGUUCGAAGGUACGCUAGUUACGGUCGGACAUCGUGACGAUAGUGCAAUGGCAUAAGCGUGCUUAACUGCGAGACUGACAAGUCGAGCAGAUGCGAAAGCAGGACAUAGUGAUCCGGUGGUUCUGUAUGGAAGGGCCAUCGCUCAACGGAUAAAAGGUACUCUGGGGAUAACAGGCUGAUACCGCCCAAGAGUUCAUAUCGACGGCGGUGUUUGGCACCUCGAUGUCGGCUCAUCUCAUCCUGGGGCUGUAGCCGGUCCCAAGGGUAUGGCUGUUCGCCAUUUAAAGAGGUACGUGAGCCGGGUUUAAAACGUCGUGAGACAGUUUGGUCCCUAUCUUCCGUGGGCGCUGCAGAUUUGAGGAAGCCUGCUCCUAGUACGAGAGGACCGGAGUGGACACACCUCUGGUGUAUCGGUUGUCACCCAGUGGCAUUGCCGAGUAGCUAAGUGUGGAAGAGAUAACCGCUGAAAGCAUCUAAGCGGGAAACUCGUUUCAAGAUGAGAUCUGCCGGGGCCUUGAGCCCCCUAAAGAGUCGUUCAAGACCAGGACGUUGAUAGGUCAGGUGUGGAA